AACGAACGCUGGCGGCAGGCUUAACACAUGCAAGUCGAACGAGAUCUUCGGAUCUAGUGGCAGACGGGUGAGGAACACGUGGGAACAUCCCUUUCAGUUCGGAAUAACGUUGGGAAACUAACGCUAAUACCGGAUACGUCCUUCGGGAGAAAGAUUUAUCGCUGAAAGAUUGGCCCGCGUCUGAUUAGCUAGUUGGUGAGGUAAUGGCUCACCAAGGCUACGAUCAGUAGCUGAUCUGAGAGGAUGAUCAGCCACAUUGGGACUGAGACGCGGCCCAAACUCCUACGGGAGGCAGCAGUGGGGAAUAUUGGACAAUGGGCGCAAGCUUGAUCCAGCCAUGCCGCGUGAGUGAUGACGGCCUUCGGGUUGUAAAGCUCUUUUGUCCGGGAAGAUAAUGACUGUACCGGAAGAAUAAGCCCCGGCAAACUUCGUGCCAGCCGCCGCAGUAA
rnacentral:rRNA from 1 species